GUAGGGAGCAAGCGUUAUCCGGAUUUAUUGGGUUUAAAGGGAGCGUAGGCCGGAGAUUAAGCGUGUUGUGAAAUGUAGAUGCUCAACAUCUGAACUGCAGCGCGAACUGGUUUCCUUGAGUACGCACAAAGUGGGCGGAAUUCGUGGUGUAGCGGUGAAAUGCUUAGAUAUCACGAAGAACUCCGAUUGCGAAGGCAGCUCACUGGAGCGCAACUGACGCUGAAGCUCGAAAGUGCGGGUAUCGAACAGGAUUAGAUACCCUGGUAGUCCACGCGGUAAACGAUGGAUGCUCGCUGUUUGCGUCUGACCUAAGCGGCCAAGCGAAAGCAUUAAGCAUCCCACCUGGGGAGU
rnacentral:rRNA from 1 species